rnacentral:lncRNA from 1 species
AAGGCCAUAUAAGUAAUAAACAGAAAAGUAUUGGCAGAGCCAAGAUUUGAACUCAAGUCUGUCUCCUCGCUAAGCUCUUGAUCAGUAAGUUUCCUGGAUUUUUUUCUCCUCAGUUGAACUCUCAAUUUAAAUGUAAAAGUCUUCAGUUUGCAAAGUUUACCUUUUCUUCUUCUGUAUCUCAGUGCUAGUGAAGAAUGGAACAAGAUCCAACUACCAUCAGCAGAGGAUAACCCUCACUGUCGUGGAGCACAGGGCAUGGAUUCAGGUGCUGACCCAAUCAGAUCCAAAGCUAACACUGCUGCUAAGAGACUGAGCCACUGGAGCUAGUCACCUGCCCUCUCCAAGCCUCAGUUUCCUCAUGUGUGAAAGUCUAGCAAUAAUAUCAAUUUCACUGGGAUAUAAUAGGGAAUAGCAGAAGCUGGAGCAGAAAUACGUGGCCCAUGAUACAUACUCUGCGGGUGCUAGUUUCCUACUUCUUCCUUCCACAGGUAAAAAGGACAGCAGAAGUGUGGCACAACUGGCCAGAUGCUAUGGACGUGAUGGAGCCAGAACGCUAAGGAUACGUCAAAGGUGGAAGGAAGAAUGAACAAAAGACCUGAAUAAGACUGGAUUGUUGAAGACCCACCAGUGAUCAUUUUAUGGCAUUAAUGGAGAGCAUAGAAUUUAAGAACUCAUGGUGCAAGACAAUUAUUUGAUGUAAUUAAAAGAGCAGAAAUUUUAAAGUCAGACAACUGAGAGUUUGAAUUCCAACUUGGCCACUUACUGAAUAGGAAAACUCAGUUUCUUCAUCUGUAAAAUGGGCAAAUAUGUACUUUAACUCUCACAAGACUAUUAUGAGAAUCAAAU